rnacentral:rRNA from 1 species
CCCUUAGAUGUUCUGGGCCGCACGCGCGCUACACUGAUGCAUUCAACGAGUUUUUCCUGGUCCGAGAGGAAUGGGUAACCUUUUGAAAGUGCAUCGUGCUAGGGAUAGACUAUUGCAAUUAUUGGUCUUCAACGAGGAAUUCCUAGUAAACGCAAGUCAUCAGCUUGUGUUGAUUACGUCCCUGCCCUUUGUACACACCGCCCGUCGCUCCUACCGAUUGAAUGUUCCGGUGAGCUCUUCGGACUGCGCGGUCUGCAGUUUCUGCGUUCCGUGCGGAAAGUUGCGCAAACCUUAACAUUUAGAGGAAGGAGAAGUCGUAACA